rnacentral:rRNA from 1 species
UACGAAGGGGGCUAGCGUUGCUCGGAAUCACUGGGCGUAAAGGGUGCGUAGGCGGGAUCUUAAGUCAGAGGUGAAAUCCUGGAGCUCAACUCCAGAACUGCCUUUGAUACUGAGGAUCUUGAGUUCGGGAGAGGUGAGUGGAACUGCGAGUGUAGAGGUGAAAUUCGUAGAUAUUCGCAAGAACACCAGUGGCGAAGGCGGCUCACUGGCCCGAUACUGACGCUGAGGCACGAAAGCGUGGGGAGCAAACAGG